UACGAAGGGGGCUAGCGUUGCUCGGAAUUACUGGGCGUAAAGGGCGCGUAGGCGGAUCGUUAAGUCAGAGGUGAAAUCCCAGGGCUCAACCCUGGAACUGCCUUUGAUACUGGCGAUCUUGAGUAUGAGAGAGGUAUGUGGAACUCCGAGUGUAGAGGUGAAAUUCGUAGAUAUUCGGAAGAACACCAGUGGCGAAGGCGACAUACUGGCUCAUUACUGACGCUGAGGCGCGAAAGCGUGGGGAGCAAACAGGAUUAGAUACCCCCGUAGUCC
rnacentral:rRNA from 1 species